CGUCAGGAUUUGAACCACAUGACUGUCGAUGCACUACAGGAACUGAAGAACCUUGAGACCUGCUACGUUAUCCUUGGACGGUUUGGUGAAAAAGUGAAACGACAUAUUUAUAAGUGAAAAUAAUUUAUGUAUAAAAUUUUUAUAAAUAUGUUUUUGAUGAUCUCGAAGCAAAGUCUAAAAAAAAUACGAUAAAAAAUAUCAAAAUUAAUUCCAAAUUUAAGGUUAAAAAUACAAAUUU
rnacentral:lncRNA from 1 species